AGAAUGAACGCUGGCGGCAUGCCUAACACAUGCAAGUCGAACGAAGGCUUCGGCCUUAGUGGCGCACGGGUGCGUAACGCGUGGGAAUCUACCCUUAGGUUCGGAAUAACAGUUGGAAACGACUGCUAAUACCGGAUGAUGACGUAAGUCCAAAGAUUUAUCGCCUAGGGAUGAGCCCGCGUAGGAUUAGCUAGUUGGUGUGGUAAAGGCGCACCAAGGCGACGAUCCUUAGCUGGUCUGAGAGGAUGAUCAGCCACACUGGGACUGAGACACGGCCCAGACUCCUACGGAAGGCAGCAGUGGGGAAUAUUGGACAAUGGGCGAAAGCCUGAUCCAGCAAUGCCGCGUGAGUGAUGAAGGCCUUAGGGUUGUAAAGCUCUUUACCCGGGAUGAUAAUGACAGUACCGGAGAAUAAGCUCCGGCUAACUCCGCGCCAGCAGCCGC
rnacentral:rRNA from 1 species